rnacentral:misc_RNA from 1 species
GGUGAAGAACGUAGUGAAAUGCGAUAAGUAAUGUGAAUUGCAGAAUUCAGUGAAUCAUCGAGUCUUUGAACGCACAUUGCGCCCCCUGGUAUUCCGGGGGGCAUGCCUGUCCGAGCGUCAUUGCCGCCCUCAAGCACGGCUUGUGUGUUGGGCCCCCGCCCCCCGGCUUCGGGGGGCGGGCCCGAAAGGCAGCGGCGGCACCGCGUCCGGUCCUCGAGCGUAUGGGGCUUCGUCACCCGCUCUGUAGGCCCGGCCGGCGCCCGCCGGCGACCCCAAUCAAUCUUUCCAGGUUGACCUCGGAUCAGGUAGGGAUACCCGCUGAACUUAAGCAUAUCAAUAAGCGGAGGA